CCGCAUGAUAUCUAUCAUGAUGUUAUCUUCAUGGUUGAAACCAGCAAUGGCCUCUGCAGCAGAACCCAUUUCAAUAUUGGUGUUUCUCCUCCUUCUACUCUCCCCUUCAAAUUCAACGGCGUCGGAGCCGAUUCCAGCUGUUUGGCCGGAACAGUUCCACGCGGUGAUGUUCAUGAACAGAAGCGGAACUCUCCAGAAACUGGACUUAUGGUACGACUGGCCCAAUGGACGCAACUUCAACAUAAUUCAGGAACAGUUGAGCAACCUCAUCAAAUACGACCUUGAAUGGAACAACGGCACGUCGUUCAUCUACACGCUGGACCCCUCAAACCAGGAAUGUGAAGUCGUUAACGUCUCUGUGGGUAUUCUUCGCCCUAAUUGGCUCGACGGUGCAACCUAUUUGGGUCAGCAGCGUGUUGACAAUUUCCUCUGCAACGUGUGGGAGAAAGUUGACUUCAUUUGGUACUACGAGGAUGUCCUCACUCGAAGACCUGUUAAGUGGGUCUUCUACACAGGAUAUACUGCUCAUGUGAUGACAUUUGAGGUUGGGGCAGUGCUUGAGGAUCCGAAUUGGCAAGCUCCUCUUUACUGUUUUAGUAAGUUUGAUAAGGAAAUGAGUAGCUCUAGCUACCCAUUAAAACCUGCUCUUCAUGGUGGUUCUUUUGGGGGGUUGAUCAGAGAGAUAGCAGAUAGUGCAGAUGUGUUGAAAUUUUGAAAUGGCAUCUGUUGCUGUAUAUUGUAUAUACUAUAAGUCUAAUCCAUCUCUGUUUAGGGGAUAUGUAAUAAUUGUUAAGUUUAGCUAUAAAUAAUUACAUGCAUUUGCCAUCAAAAUCUUGUUGGAAGCUGCAUAUUUAAUAAUUGGGAGCUAACAGUUGUUUUCAUCCAGGCAGUUAGUGAACUAUAAUUGUAGACCUUGAGUGGAACGGACCGAGGUUUUUGUGUGUGAGAUAUGUUACUUGUGGUAGACCAAGAAUCCAGAAAUUUUAUAAAUCUGCAGCGUGGAAGUAAUGGAAUGUUUUGUUAUUUUUUUACAGAAACACUCGCCUAAGAGAAGCUUAAUUGGUUGGUCCAUACUGUCUUUCUGGGAAAGCGUUAUGAAAAACCUUGAUAGGCAUUCUGCUCGUGAAGCAAGAGAAAUACCUGGCUGGCAAACCAUGGGUAAGAGGCUGGGAUAUAUCUGGUAGAAUAUUAAAAUGUAUAUUGUCAUGAACAGAAAAUGUAUCUGAGAUCUUCAUGAACUUGCUGAUAUGUUUGUGGGGAUCCUCGUGUGGCAGUCCAUGAUAUUGUGUCAUCGAUUGGAGGAGCUGCACUAUGCCUGGUUUUAGAUCAAAGUUAACUUCCACACCAAGUUGGACUAUCCCCGGAAUAACUCCAUCAAGGGAUGGAAUGUGCAUAUUCCAUAAUGGGGAGUUCUUCAUCCGCUAUUGCCAGUGCAUUGGUGCUAUUUCCAUCCCCAUUUUCAUUGUGACCAUGGAUGGAACUAUUAUCAUCUGCCAUCUUGUAACAGCAACAAUCGACUACUUUUAUUUUCUUCAAAAGUGGCAGAACUUUGCAAUUCCCACUGUUGGUUUUA